GCUCUCCCUCUUGCUGUGUGCUCUGUGUGCUCCAUGUUCCUCAGUUUCAAUGUAGUUUGAACUUAAUUCUCGAGUUGUUGAUUUUUGCCUCAUCAAAUUGUUUUGUAUUACUUAUUUUCAGAGGUGGGAAGCACAAAUACUUCGUUACUGUGCUGAAGAACAAUUUUCAGCAGAAUGAGUGGAAGCUUCCUCUCCAAAGAGCCUCAGGCAUACCUGCCUCACCCAGAGUCAGACCAGGCUGAGCACAUAGCCGGAUACACGUAGAGUGGAGCUAAGGGGAUGGAUGAUCUUGGUCUUGAGAAUGUGAGCUUGCCUUUUGUCCCGUUUCCCUCGCCUCAUCCUGAACCAGUCUCCGUAGAUGAGUGCCCCUCCCUGAUCAUGGUUCUACCGUCCUGUUAAAAGGGUGCUUUUUCUUCCCCCUGUCGC
ensembl:lncRNA